AUUGAACGCUGGCGGCAUGCUUUACACAUGCAAGUCGGACGGCAGCACAGAGAAGCUUGCUUCUUGGGUGGCGAGUGGCGAACGGGUGAGUAAUAUAUCGGAACGUACCGAGUAAUGGGGGAUAACUAAUCGAAAGAUUAGCUAAUACCGCAUAUUCUCUGAGGAGGAAAGCAGGGGACCUUCGGGCCUUGCGUUAUUCGAGCGGCCGAUAUCUGAUUAGCUAGUUGGUGGGGUAAAGGCCUACCAAGGCGACGAUCAGUAGCGGGUCUGAGAGGAUGAUCCGCCACACUGGGACUGAGACACGGCCCAGACUCCUACGGGAGGCAGCAGUGGGGAAUUUUGGACAAUGGGCGCAAGCCUGAUCCAGCCAUGCCGCGUGUCUGAAGAAGGCCUUCGGGUUGGAAAGGACUUUUGUCAGGGAAGAAAAGGCUGUUGCUAAUACCGACAGCUGAUGACGGUACCUGAAGAAUAAGCACCGGCUAACUACGUG
rnacentral:rRNA from 1 species